rnacentral:rRNA from 1 species
UACGUAGGGUGCAAGCGUUGUCCGGAAUUAUUGGGCGUAAAGAGCUCGUAGGCGGUUUGUUGCGUCGGCUGUGAAAUCCCGAGGCUCAACCUCGGGUCUGCAGUCGAUACGAGCAAACUAGAGUGUUGCAGGGGAGACUGGAAUUCCUGGUGUAGCGGUGAAAUGCGCAGAUAUCAGGAGGAACACCGGUGGCGAAGGCGGGUCUCUGGGCAACAACUGACGCUGGAGGAGCGAAAGCGUGGGGAGCGAAACAGG